CAAAGGUUUGGUCCUGACUUUACCAUCAGCUUUAGCCCAAUUUAUACAUGCAAGUAUCCGCGCCCCAGUGAGAAUGCCCUCAAUCCUCCGCCCGAGGACAAGGAGCUGGCAUCAGGCACACAAAUACAUGCCCAAGACGCCUUGCUAAGCCACGCCCCCAAGGGAACUCAGCAGUAAUAAACAUUAAAUUAUAAGUGAAAACUUGAUUUAGUUAGGACUAAUAAGGGCCGGUAAAAUUCGUGCCAGCCACCGCGGUUAUACGAAAGACCCUAGUUGAUGAAUGCGGCGUAAAGGGUGGUUAGAGAGUAUAAACAAUAAAGCCAAAGCCCCUCAAAGCUGUCAUACGCUUUACGAGGCCAUGAAGCCCAAGCACGAAAGUAGCUUUACUCUAUCUCGAGCCCACGAAAGCUAAGAAACAAACUGGGAUUAGAUACCCCACUAUGCUUAGCCUUAAACCCAGAUGUACUCCAUACAAAAACAUUCGCCAGGGUACUACGAGCACAGCUUAAAACCCAAAGGACUUGGCGGUGCCUCAGAUCCAACUAGAGGAGCCUGUUCUAGAACCGAUAACCCCCGUUAAACCUCACCACCUCUUGUUUUACCCGCCUAUAUACCACCGUCGUCAGCUUACCCUAUGAAGGUUCAACAGUAAGCAAAAUGAGUACAUCUCAAAACGUCAGGUCGAGGUGUAGCGAACGAAGUGGGAAGAAAUGGGCUACAUUUUCUAUGCCAGAAUAUAACGAAAGAUGGCCUGAAACAUAACACCUGAAGGAGGAUUUAGUAGUAAAAAGAAAAUAGAGAGUUCUUUUGAAUUAGGCUCUGAGGCGCGCACACACCGCCCGUCACUCUCCCCAACACAAUACAUCACAAAUCCUUAAUACAACAUAAAAAACACGGGGAGGCAAGUCGUAACAUGGUAAGUAUACCGGAAGGUGUACUUGGAAUAU
rnacentral:ncRNA from 1 species